rnacentral:misc_RNA from 1 species
UCUCCGUAGGUGAACCUGCGGAGGGAUCAUUACCGAGUGAGGGUUCCGGCCCGACCUCCAACCCUUUGUGAACCAAACUUGUUGCUUCGGGGGCGACCCUGCCGUUCGCGGCGUGGGGCCCCCGGUGGACCACUCAACCCUGCAUCGUUGCGUCCGAGUCGUAAUAUAAAUCAAUCAAAACUUUCAACAACGGAUCUCUUGGUUCUGGCAUCGAUGAAGAACGCAGC